rnacentral:rRNA from 1 species
GACGAAGGGGGCUAGCGUUGUUCGGAAUUACUGGGCGUAAAGCGCGCGUAGGCGGUUUACCAAGUUCGGUGUGAAAGCCUGGGGCUCAACCUCAGAAUUGCACUGAAGACUGGUAAACUUGAGUCCGGCAGGGGAAUGCGGAAUUUCUGGUGUAGCGGUGAAAUGCGUAGAUAUCAGAAGGAACACCGACGGCGAAGGCAGCAUUCUGGACCGGUACUGACGCUCAGGCGCGAAAGCGUGGGGAUCAAACAGG